UACGUAGGGGGCAAGCGUUGUCCGGAUUCAUUGGGCGUAAAGAGCGUGUAGGCGGCCAGGUAGGUCGGUUGUGAAAACUGGAGGCUCAACCUUCAGAGGUCGACCGAAACCAUCUGGCUAGAGUCCGGGAGAGGAGAGUGGAAUUCCUGGUGUAGCGGUGAAAUGCGCAGAUAUCAGGAAGAACACCCGUGGCGAAAGCGGCUCUCUGGGAACGGUACUGACGCUGAGACGCGAAAGCCAGGGGAGCGAACGGG
rnacentral:rRNA from 1 species